rnacentral:rRNA from 1 species
CGCGUAGGCGGUCUUUUAAGUCAGGUGUGAAAGCCCGGGGCUCAACCCCGGAAGUGCACUUGAAACUAAGAGACUUGAGUAUGGGAGAGGGAAGUGGAAUUCCUGGUGUAGCGGUGAAAUGCGUAGAUAUCAGGAGGAACAUCAGUGGCGAAGGCGACUUCCUGGACCAAUACUGACGCUGAGGCGCGAAAGCGUGGGGGAGCGAAGA